GAUGAAGAACGUAGCGAAAUGCGAUAAGUAAUGUGAAUUGCAGAAUUCCGUGAAUCAUCGAAUCUUUGAACGCACAUUGCGCCCCCUGGUAUUCCGGGGGGCAUGCCUGUCCGAGCGUCAUUGCUGCCCUCAAGCACGGCUUGUGUGUUGGGCUUCCGUCCCUGGCAACGGGGACGGGCCCAAAAGGCAGUGGCGGCACCAUGUCUGGUCCUCGAGCGUAUGGGGCUUUGUCACCCGCUCCCGUAGGUCCAGCUGGCAGCUAGCCUCGCAACCAAUCUUUUUAACCAGGUUGACCUCGGAUCAGGUAGGGAUACCCGCUGAACUUAAGCAUAUCAUAAGCGGAGGA
rnacentral:misc_RNA from 1 species